rnacentral:rRNA from 1 species
UGCUUAACACAUGCAAGUCGAACGAAGAAGAGUUGAAUGAGAGCUUCGGCAGGAUUUCUUCUCAUCUAGUGGCGGACGGGUGAGUAACGUGUGGGCAACCUGCCCUAUACUAUGGAAUAAUCACUGGAAACGGUGACUAAUACCGCAUAAGACCACAGUACCGCAUGGUACAGGGGUAAAAGAGUUAUGUAUCGGAUUACGAUGACCUUGCGUCCUAUUAGCUAGUUGGUGAGGUAACGGCCCACCAAGGCGACGAUAGGUAGCCGACCUGAGAGGGUGAUCGGCCACAUUGGAACUGAGAUACGGACCAAACUCCUACGGGAGGCAGCAGUGGGGAAUAUUGGGCAAUGGGGGCAACCCUGACGCAGCAACGCCGCGUGAAGGAAGAAGGUCUUCGGAUUGUAAACUUUUGUCUUUAGGGAAGAAUAAUGACGGUACCUAAGGAGGAAGCUCCGGCUAACUACGUG